rnacentral:rRNA from 1 species
AGAGUUUGAUCCUGGCUCAGAUUGAACGCUGGCGGCAGGCUUAACACAUGCAAGUCGAGCGGGCGAGGUUGCUUCGGUAACUGAGCUAGCGGCGGACGGGUGAGUAAAGCUUAGGAAUCUGCCUAUUAGUGGGGGACAACAUUUCGAAAGGGAUGCUAAUACCGCAUACGUCCUACGGGAGAAAGCAGGGGAUCACUUGUGACCUUGCGCUAAUAGAUGAGCCUAAGUCGGAUUAGCUAGUUGGUGGGGUAAAGGCCUACCAAGGCGACGAUCUGUAGCGGGUCUGAGAGGAUGAUCCGCCACACUGGGACUGAGACACGGCCCAGACUCCUACGGGAGGCAGCAGUGGGGAAUAUUGGACAAUGGGGGGAACCCUGAUCCAGCCAUGCCGCGUGUGUGAAGAAGGCCUUUUGGUUGUAAAGCACUUUAAGUGGGGAGGAGGCUCUCUUGGUUAAUACCUGAGAAGAGUGGACGUUACCCACAGAAUAAGCACCGGCUAACUCUGUGCCAGCAGCCGCGGUAAUACAGAGGGUGCGAGCGUUAAUCGGAUUUACUGGGCGUAAAGCGCGCGUAGGUGGUUAAUUAAGUCAAAUGUGAAAUCCCCGAGCUUAACUUGGGAAUUGCAUUCGAUACUGGUUAGCUAGAGUAUGGGAGAGGAUGGUAGAAUUCCAGGUGUAGCGGUGAAAUGCGUAGAGAUCUGGAGGAAUACCGAUGGCGAAGGCAGCCAUCUGGCCUAAUACUGACACUGAGGUGCGAAAGCAUGGGGAGCAAGCAGGAUUAGAUACCCUGGUAGUCCCAUGCCGUAAACGACGUCUACUAGCCGGUGGGGGAUUUGAUCCUUUAGUGGCGGCAGCUAACGCGAUAAGUAGACCGGCCUGGGGAGUACGGUCGCAAGACUAAAACUCAAAUGAAUUGACGGG